UGGGAUUCUCUCUUCUUUCUAUGUAUUGGAUGUUUGGCAACGCGAGUGCCGCUCCCGAUUUUAGAUUUGAGCAACUAGCCAAAAUGGGUGCUGGAUGUGACUGGGCGGCUGUUUUAGCCAAGACACCCACCUACCAACACUCCGAAAGACUCAUGCUUUCCUUUUUUUUGCUAUUUUUUCAUUUGGAUAUUUCCCCCAAAUGGCAGAGUCUUUCGGCGGGGUUUUCUUGUUCUUCAAAUUUCAAAACCCGGCGAGCGCUUCGACUUGAACUCUGCUCGGGAGGUUAAAGGGUAUCGCCCGCGAAUGCUUGAAUGCGCGACCAAUGAAAGCGCAGGGGAAUUUCGGUAUGAAUACAAAAUAGUUAACAUCGUUAACUAUUACGUAAUUCCGGUUCCAAUGAAUGUCUCGCUGAUCUGAGGAUCUUGAGAUAUGCUUGCCAUUCCGACUUCGAAAGUGAAAAAGGCAGGAGCGGAUUAGUUUGUUCUGGUGUCGCGAGUUGAAAUCCGAAGAAUAGUGAUUAAAUUUAGUCCAGUAGUUGUUUUCCGUGAAUUUAACUCUCCGCUUGUGUCCCCAUUGAGCGGAACUGAAGGAAAAAGCCGCUUCUGACCCACGAUCGGAGAUUGGAUUUCCGCCACCUUGUCCGUCAAUUCUAGUGGCCGCGCGGAGCGCAAACCAUCACUCGCGCAUCCAGGGAAGGCGCAUCACGACACAUCUACGAGUCGAACGCGCACUCAACGCCUACGGACUUACCAUUCAUCGCCUGGCGUGGAACGGCGAUAAGGUAGAUUCUCCACGUAAAACCUAGGUAGUGUGAGUAGAAAACUAUUUUUACCCUAAAAUAAC